AACAAGGUCUCCGUUGGUGAACCAGCGGAGGGAUCAUUAUCGAGUUAUUCAACUCCCAAACCCUAUGUGAACUUACCACUUGUUGCUUCGGCGCGCGCUUCGGCUCCGCCGAGGACACUUAAACUCUUUGUUUUUAUAAGCAUUUCUGAGUGGCCGAAAGGCAAAAAUACAAAUGAAUCAAAACUUUCAACAACGGAUCUCUUGGUUCUGGCAUCGAUGAAGAACGCAGCGAAAUGCGAUAAGUAAUGUGAAUUGCAGAAUUCAGUGAAUCAUCGAAUCUUUGAACGCACAUUGCGCCCGCCAGCAUUCUGGCGGGCAUGCCUGUUCGAGCGUCAUUUCAACCCUCGAGCCCGACUCUUUUGAGGACGGCUCGGCGUUGGGGGACGGCAGACUCCCCCCGGCAUCUCGCCGGGGACGCCGCCCCCGAAAUCUAGUGGCGGCCCUCCGAGGCGACCUCUGCGUAGUAACUUGUUCUCGCACCGGAAAGCUCAGAGCGGCCACGCCGUAAAACCCCAACUUUUUUCAGGUUGACCUCGAAUCAGGUAGGACUACCCGCUGAACUUAAGCAUAUCAAUA
rnacentral:rRNA from 1 species